rnacentral:misc_RNA from 1 species
AACGGUCUAUACCUGCGGUACCUGCGGAAGGAUCAUUAGUGGACGCCCUCACGGGCUUAUAACUAUUCCAAACCUCUGUGAACCGUGCCCUUCGGGGCUAUUUUACAAACAUGGUGUAAUGAACGUCAUAUAUCAUAACAAAACAAAACUUUUAACAACGGAUCUCU